GCCAGGUGUGGUGGCUCAUGCCUAUAAUCCAAACACUUUGGAAGGCUGAAGCAGGUGGAUCAUGAAGUCAAGAGAUCGAGACCAUCCUGGCAAACACGGCUGGAGUGCAAUGGCAUCAUCUUGGCUCACUAUUACCUCCGCUUCCCAGGCUCAAGGAUCGUCCGACCUCACCUUCCGGAGUAGCUGGGACUAUAGAGUUUCGCUAUUGUUGCCCAGGCUGGAGCGUAACGGCACAAUCUCGGCUCACCGCAACCCCUGCUUCCUGGAUUCAAGAGGUUCUCCAGUCUCAGCCUCCUGAGUAGCUGGGAGUACAGGUGCGUGCCACUACAAAGGGAUAAUUUUUUAUGUUUUUAGUAGAGAUAGGGUUUCACCACGUUGGCCAGGAUAGUCUCAAUCUCUUGACCUUGUAAUCUGCCUGACUCAGUCUCCCAAAGUGCUGGGAUUACAGGCAUGAUCCACCGAGCAUGGCCACUCCCGACUAAUUUUGGUAUAUUUUUUUUGAGACAGAGUCUCCCAGGUUGGAAUGCAGUGGCCCGAUCUCAGCUCAUUUCAAGUUCUGCCUCCUGGGUCGAAGUGAUUCUCCUGCCUCAGCCUCCCAAGUAGCUGGGAGUAAAGGCAGGUGCCACCAUGCCUGGCUAAUUUUGUAUUUUUCGUACAGAUGGGGUUUCAUUAUGUUGACCAGAGUGGUCUUGAACUCCUGACCCCAGGUGAUCUGCCUGCCUCAGCCUCCCAAAGUGCUGGGAUUACAGAUAUGAGCCACCACGCCUCCACUUAAUUUUUGUAUUUUUUUAGUAGAGACAUGAUUACACCAUGUUGGCCAGGCUGGUCUCAAACUCCUGACCUGAGGUGAUCCACCCACGUUGGCUUCCCAAAGUGCUGGGAUUACAGGUGUGAGCCACAUUGCCUGGCUGUUACGUAUAUUUUAUUUAUACUGCUAGUUCAUGCCUCUGCAUAUAACAAACACGAGAAAAAAUAACUUCCUUUACUUCUGAGAACUCAGUUAAUUCAUUUCCAUUUAUUCCUGUUUUUCAAAAGCAAUGAAAAGACAACUAUAUUGCUGUACUGAUCACUCACAUGUGCUCUAACUUACUUGUGAAAUUCUAUGUCUUACAGGGAGCCAUGAUUUUAAAGCAAACCCACAGAAGAGGCAGUUUUGUUUUAGACAGUAACUACUUUUUUUUUGUUCCCUACAGACACCAUACACUAUCAGAAGUUUUCAGAGAUACUGAAAGUUGAAAUGUACCUUAUUGUCAAAGUUGAACCUGCUCAGAUCCCUAGAUUCUGUUGCUCUUCUAUCACCAUGUGUAAGUGCUCCCUAUCAAAACAAAAAUUUCAAUCAAGGCAUAGGUAACCUUUUAGCAGAAAACAGGUACCAGAGAUCAUCUUUUACACAAAGCCACACAACUCCAAAACUCACCAAACU